CGGGGUGGAGUAAUGUCUGGGAAACUGCCUGAUGGAGGGGGAUAACUGCUGGAAACGGUAGCUAAUACCGCAUAACGUCGCAAGACCAAAGAGGGGACCGUUCGGGCCUCUUGCCAUCGGAUGUGCCCAGAUGGGAUUAGCUAGUAGGUGGGGUAACGGCUCACCUAGGCGACGAUCCCUAGCUGGUCUGAGAGGAUGACCAGCCACACUGGAACUGAGACACGGUCCAG
rnacentral:rRNA from 1 species